GUCUUCGUGGCCUAGUUGGUAGGGCGUAGGUCUCAUACUUUGAGAAGCUACACAAAGCUGCAUCAACGAUCCUGUUACACGGGAAUCAACCUAUUAGACAUCCUAAGAUCGCGAGUUCGAGCCUCGCCGAGGACA
rnacentral:tRNA from 1 species